AGAAUCAACGCUGGCGGCGUGCCUAACACAUGCAAGUCGAACGAGAAAGUGGAGCAAUCCAUGAGUAAAGUGGCGACCGGGUGAGUAACACGUGACUAACCUACCUUCGAGUGGGGGAUAACAUCGGGAAACCGAUGCUAAUACCGCAUAACAUCGCAAGAUCAAAGCAGCAAUGCGCUGGAAGAGGGGGUCGCGGCUGAUUAGCUAGUUGGCGGGUAACGGCCCACCAAGGCGAAGAUCGGUAGCCGGCCUGAGAGGGCGCACGGCCACACUGGAACUGAAACACGGUCCAGACUCCUACGGGAGGCAGCAGUGGGGAAUUUUGCGCAAUGGGGGAAACCCUGACGCAGCAACGCCGCGUGGAGGAUGAAGCCCCUUGGGGUGUAAACUCCUUUCGACCAAGACGAUAAUGACGGUACUGGUGGAAGAAGCACCGGCUAACUCUGUGCCAGCAGCCGC
rnacentral:rRNA from 1 species